rfam:Felis catus isolate Cinnamon breed Abyssinian chromosome C2, whole genome shotgun sequence.
GCCUGGGUGGCUCAGCUGGUAAAGCAUCCGACUUCAGCUCAGGUCACAAUCUUGUGGUUCGUGAGUUCGAGCCCCGCAUCAGGCU